AUUGCAGAGCUACCUUCUGAUUUCUUCUCCACACUCCAUAGAUACUGAAGAGUCAAGAUUAAUGGUGCUCUAACCUUCUCAAAGCACCCAAGUUCUGGCAGCGCUCCACUCAACCCCACCCCUCCUGCUGAUAUCCUUCUGGCAGAAGCAAGGGGUGGCCGAGAGCCUUCAAAACAGUUCCCCACAACUUUUUCACAGCUUCUAUUACCUCUUCUGAAUGCAUCUGGAAAGGUACAGAUGAAGAGAGAAUACCUCCACAAGUCUACUGGAUCUAGAUGGCAUAAUUACAGAAGAGUAACAGGAUGAGUCCCAGACCUGAACAACUGGUAAAUAUUUCAGAUACCAAUAUCAACUUCUUAGCCAGGCAACAGGAAAAGGAGCAAAAUAGGAUUUCUCAAGCAACCAGAUGUUCCACAAAGCACUGAGAGAAAUCACAGAGACUUUUGUCAUGCUAUUGCACAGGGACAAGCUAUCAGAGCAGAUGUCCCACCAGAAGGCUUCAAGCUGCACCAGUCAUCCAGCAGGAAGACCCACUCUGCUGUUAGAAAAAAAUGCCAGUUGAUGAUGCUACCUACUUCUGUCCAGCUUCAAGUACGUACCACAGUAGAAAAUCCAAAACAGACACAGAGGGGUAGACCGUACUCUGUUUGGAGUAGGGGGGAAGGAAGAAAUUUGAAAUACUGCAGUUUCUAUGCAAUGUUAUUUUCUCCUCACUUUGGG
ensembl:lncRNA